UUUCUACUCCCUCCGUCCGAAAAUACUUGUCAUCAAAAUGGAUAAAAAGAGAUGUAUCUAAAACUAAAAUACGUCUAGAUACAUUUCCUUUUAUCCAUUUUGAUGACAAGUAUUUCCGGACGAAGGGAGUAUUUG
rfam:Triticum urartu cultivar G1812 contig226754, whole genome shotgun sequence.